rnacentral:rRNA from 1 species
GGUUAAGCGACUAAGCGUACACGGUGGAUGCCCUGGCAGUCAGAGGCGAUGAAGGACGUGCUAAUCUGCGAAAAGCGCCGGCGAGGUGAUAUGAACCCUUGACCCGGCGAUGUCCGAAUGGGGAAACCCAGUGCAAUCCGUUGCACUAUCGUUAACUGAAUACAUAGGUUAACGAGGCGAACCGGGGGAACUGAAACAUCUAAGUACCCCGAGGAAAAGAAAUCAACCGAGAUUCCCCCAGUAGCGGCGAGCGAACGGGGAGCAGCCCAGAGUCUGAAUCAGCUUGUGUGUUAGUGGAAGCGUCUGGAAAGUCGCACGGUACAGGGUGAAAGUCCCGUACACGAAAGCACACAGGCUGUGAACUCGAAGAGUAGGGCGGGACACGUGGUAUCCUGUCUGAAUAUGGGGGGACCAUCCUCCAAGGCUAAAUACUCCUGACUGACCGAUAGUGAACCAGUACCGUGAGGGAAAGGCGAAAAGAACCCCGGCGAGGGGAGUGAAAAAGAACCUGAAACCGUGUACGUACAAGCAGUGGGAGCACCUUCGGGUGUGACUGCGUACCUUUUGUAUAAUGGGUCAGCGACUUAUAUUCUGUAGCAAGGUUAACCGUAUAGGGGAGCCGAAGGGAAACCGAGUCUUAACUGGGCGUUAAGUUGCAGGGUAUAGACCCGAAACCCGGUGAUCUAGCCAUGGGCAGGUUGAAGGUUGGGUAACACUAACUGGAGGACCGAACCGACUAAUGUUGAAAAAUUAGCGGAUGACCUGUGGCUGGGGGUGAAAGGCCAAUCAAACCGGGAGAUAGCUGGUUCUCCCCGAAAGCUAUUUAGGUAGCGCCUCGUGAACUCAUCUUCGGGGGUAGAGCACUGUUUCGGCUAGGGGGCCAUCCCGGCUUACCAACCCGAUGCAAACUACGAAUACCGAAGAAUGUUAUCACGGGAGACACACGGCGGGUGCUAACGUCCGUCGUGAAGAGGGAAACAACCCAGACCGCCAGCUAAGGUCCCAAAGUCAUGGUUAAGUGGGAAACGAUGUGGGAAGGCCCAGACAGCCAGGAUGUUGGCUUAGAAGCAGCCAUCAUUUAAAGAAAGCGUAAUAGCUCACUGGUCGAGUCGGCCUGCGCGGAAGAUGUAACGGGGCUAAACCAUGCACCGAAGCUGCGGCAGCGACGCUUAUGCGUUGUUGGGUAGGGGAGCGUUCUGUAAGCCGUUGAAGGUGGCCUGUGAGGGUUGCUGGAGGUAUCAGAAGUGCGAAUGCUGACAUAAGUAACGAUAAAGCGGGUGAAAAGCCCGCUCGCCGGAAGACCAAGGGUUCCUGUCCAACGUUAAUCGGGGCAGGGUGAGUCGACCCCUAAGGCGAGGCCGAAAGGCGUAGUCGAUGGGAAACAGGUUAAUAUUCCUGUACUUGGUGUUACUGCGAAGGGGGGACGGAGAAGGCUAUGUUAGCCGGGCGACGGUUGUCCCGGUUUAAGCAUGUAGGCGGAGGUUCCAGGUAAAUCCGGUACCUUUUAACGCUGAGGUGUGAUGACGAGGCACUACGGUGCUGAAGUAACAAAUGCCCUGCUUCCAGGAAAAGCCUCUAAGCAUCAGGUAACACGAAAUCGUACCCCAAACCGACACAGGUGGUCAGGUAGAGAAUACCAAGGCGCUUGAGAGAACUCGGGUGAAGGAACUAGGCAAAAUGGUGCCGUAACUUCGGGAGAAGGCACGCUGAUAUGUAGGUGAAGCCCCUGCGGGUGGAGCUGAAAUCAGUCGAAGAUACCAGCUGGCUGCAACUGUUUAUUAAAAACACAGCACUGUGCAAACACGAAAGUGGACGUAUACGGUGUGACGCCUGCCCGGUGCCGGAAGGUUAAUUGAUGGGGUUAGCGGUAACGCGAAGCUCUUGAUCGAAGCCCCGGUAAACGGCGGCCGUAACUAUAACGGUCCUAAGGUAGCGAAAUUCCUUGUCGGGUAAGUUCCGACCUGCACGAAUGGCGUAAUGAUGGCCAGGCUGUCUCCACCCGAGACUCAGUGAAAUUGAACUCGCUGUGAAGAUGCAGUGUACCCGCGGCAAGACGGAAAGACCCCGUGAACCUUUACUAUAGCUUGACACUGAACACUGGUCCUUGAUGUGUAGGAUAGGUGGGAGGCUUUGAAGCGUGGACGCCAGUCUGCGUGGAGCCGACCUUGAAAUACCACCCUUUAAUGGCUGGUGUUCUAACGUAGACCCGUAAUCCGGGUUGCGGACAGUGUCUGGUGGGUAGUUUGACUGGGGCGGUCUCCUCCCAAAGAGUAACGGAGGAGCACGAAGGUUAGCUAAUCCUGGUCGGACAUCAGGAGGUUAGUGCAAUGGCAUAAGCUAGCUUGACUGCGAGAGUGACGGCUCGAGCAGGUGCGAAAGCAGGUCAUAGUGAUCCGGUGGUUCUGAAUGGAAGGGCCAUCGCUCAACGGAUAAAAGGUACUCCGGGGAUAACAGGCUGAUACCGCCCAAGAGUUCAUAUCGACGGCGGUGUUUGGCACCUCGAUGUCGGCUCAUCACAUCCUGGGGCUGAAGUAGGUCCCAAGGGUAUGGCUGUUCGCCAUUUAAAGUGGUACGCGAGCUGGGUUUAGAACGUCGUGAGACAGUUCGGUCCCUAUCUGCCGUGGGCGCUGGAGAAUUGAGGGGGGCUGCUCCUAGUACGAGAGGACCGGAGUGGACGCAUCACUGGUGUUCGGGUUGUCAUGCCAAUGGCACUGCCCGGUAGCUAAAUGCGGAAGAGAUAAGUGCUGAAAGCAUCUAAGCACGAAACUUGCCCCGAGAUGAGUUCUCCCUGAGACUUAAAGUCUCCUGAAGGAACGUUGAAGACGACGACGUUGAUAGGUCGGGUGUGUAAGCGCAGCGAUGCGUUGAGCUAACCGAUACUAAUGAACCGUGAGGCUUAACCUU